rnacentral:rRNA from 1 species
AUACCAAACUGUUGCCUCGGCGGGGUCACGCCCCGGGUGCGUCGCAGCCCCGGAACCAGGCGCCCGCCGGAGGGACCAACCAAACUCUUUUCUGUAGUCCCCUCGCGGACGUUAUUUCUUACAGCUCUGAGCAAAAAUUCAAAAUGAAUCAAAACUUUCAACAACGGAUCUCUUGGUUCUGGCAUCGAUGAAGAACGCAGCGAAAUGCGAUAAGUAAUGUGAAUUGCAGAAUUCAGUGAAUCAUCGAAUCUUUGAACGCACAUUGCGCCCGCCAGUAUUCUGGCGGGCAUGCCUGUCCGAGCGUCAUUUCAACCCUCGAACCCCUCCGGGGGGUCGGCGUUGGGGACCUCGGGAGCCCCUAAGACGGGAUCCCGGCCCCGAAAUACAGUGGCGGUCUCGCCGCAGCCUCUCCUGCGCAGUAGUUUGCACAACUCGCACCGGGAGCGCGGCGCGUCCACGUCCGUAAAACACCCAACUUCUGAAAUGUUGACCUCGGAUCAGGUAGGAAUACCCGCUGAACUUAAGCAUAUCAAUAAGCGGAGGAA